rnacentral:lncRNA from 1 species
AAUUUGCCACUACUAGUGAUACUCAGAUAGAAUCAGAAUCAGAAAGUGUUAACUAUUUUAAAAGAUUAAAACUUAAGUUAAAAACUUAAUUCAAGUAUUAUUAGUUUUAUUUUGAUAUUAUUUAUUAUAGGAACCACUACCGUUCUUAUGCAAGAGAAAAUAUAAUCCAACCAAAAAUAACCAACAGAAUAGUAAGCAAGUAAUUAGUUCUAUAACGCAAAAAAAGAAAAAGAAAACAACUUUUAUGCAUACUCCGCAUACUAUAGUUCAAGUAUUAGGAUCAGCAAUGGCAAGAUUUUCCUGAGGAAAGAGAGUAUUUUAAUAUAGUGCAAAGCCAAGGUCGCGUGUGUGUUUUUCCACAGAAAAGAAAAAAGUUGUUUUACCAGUGACGCCUGCAUUUGUUUCCCUUAUAAGAAAAGCUACUAAAAAAGAUUCCUUAUCAAAUGGAAAGUCUCCCAUUAUUGAGGAAGAAUUUCAGAAGAAAGUUUUAAAUCCACUGGUAGAAAUGAAAGAGAUGUUGGUAAAGCUCUUUCCAGUAAUUAAAAUAAUAUCACAAAAAAUAAUCCUGAUAUUUUAUGGAUGAAUUCACAGCAGUCGUUUAGUAAUUAUGAUGACAGUUUUAAUGAUUUUUGGGUGAGGUCUGAAGUUAGGUUUUCAAAUCAUGACUUUUUGCAACUUUUUUAUUGCUUUUUUGGGAUUAUGUAUUUGCUUAAGUUAAUCUACUUGUAACUUUUUAUAAAUGUACUAAAAAAAUAAUGUGAUGUAAUUAUUUUCUUAACC